rnacentral:rRNA from 1 species
GAUCAUGGCGCAGAACGAACGCUGGCGGCGCGUCUUAAGCAUGCAAGUCGAAGGCAAGAGGUAGCAAUACCUCCUAGAGUGGCGGACUGGUGAGUAACACGUGGGUGACAUACCCUUCAGAUGGGGAUAGCUAUUAGAAAUAGUAGAUAAUACCGAAUACGAGCACAGGGGUUAGAGAUCUGUGAGGAAAGGAGCUAAGGCUCCGCUGAAGGAAUGGCCUGCGGCCCAUUAGCUAGUUGGUGAGGUAAGAGCCCACCAAGGCGAUGAUGGGUAUCCGGCCUUAGAGGGUGAACGGACACAUUGGGACUGAGAUACGGCCCAGACUCCUACGGGAGGCAGCAGCUAAGAAUAUUCCGCAAUGGACGAAAGUCUGACGGAGCGACGCCGCGUGGAUGAAGAAGGCCGGAAGGUUGUAAAAUCCUUUUGAAACUGAAGAAUAAGCGUUGUAGGGAAUGACAGCGUGGUGACAGUAGGUUUUGAAUAAGCAACGGCUAAUUACGUGCCAGCAGCCGC